rnacentral:lncRNA from 1 species
CCGAAAGUAACACCUAUUCGCUAGGCUCAAAGUGCCGAAACGAGCUCGAAAAGACUGCAUGGAGUGACUGUCUUAAGCUCUAUGAGUACACCAUUCUUAGGCUUAACAAAACUGUUGAUCCCAACACAAAGUGCAGCCAAGUUGACUCUCAAACAUGGCUCAGCACUGCCCUAACAAACCUCGAAACCUGUCGAGCCGGGUUCGUCGAGCUCGGUGUCUCGGACUAUCUCUUGCCCUUGAUGUCCAACAACGUUUCCAAGCUCAUCAGCAACACUCUAUCACUCAACAAGGUCCCAUACACUGAGCCUAGCUACAAAGAGGGG